rnacentral:rRNA from 1 species
GAUGAACGCUGGCGGCGUGCCUAAUACAUGCAAGUCGAGCGAACAGACGAGGAGCUUGCUCCUCUGACGUUAGCGGCGGACGGGUGAGUAACACGUGGAUAACCUACCUAUAAGACUGGGAUAACUUCGGGAAACCGGAGCUAAUACCGGAUAACAUGUUGAACCGCAUGGUUCAACAGUGAAAGACGGUCUUGCUGUCACUUAUAGAUGGAUCCGCGCCGCAUUAGCUAGUUGGUAAGGUAACGGCUUACCAAGGCAACGAUCGAUAGCCGACCUGAGAGGGUGAUCGGCCACACUGGAACUGAGGCACGGUCCAGACUCCUACGAGAGGCAGCAGUAGGGAAUCUUCCGCAGUGGGCGAAGGCCUGACGGAGCAACGCCGCGUGAGUGAAGAAGGUCGUCGGAUCGUAAAACUCUGUUAUUAGGGAAGAACAAAUGUGUAAGUAACUAUGCACAUCUUGACGGUACCUAAUCAGAAAGCCACGGCUAACUACGUG